rnacentral:rRNA from 1 species
CCCUCGCGUACUGGCACUUGGAGAAGUGGCAAGUCUUCCAGUAUGGGGAGCAAAACAGCUAUGGGUCAAGUCCGAUAUCUUUAGGAGAAGUCUUAUUGUGAGGGCGAGUUAUAUAACACCAUAGGACUGGCCGUCCCAUAUGAAAAGAUUAUAUUAGAAUUGAAUGAAGCUUUGUUUAUAUAUUGAUAAUGACAGUAUAUAUAUCGUGUCUUGACUAAUUGCGUGCCAGCAGUCGCGGUAAUACGUAAGAGACUAGUGUUAUUCAUCUUAAUUAGGUUUAAAGGGUACCCAGACGGUCAAUAUAGCUUAUAAAAUGUUAGUACUUGACUAGAGUUUUAUGUAAGAGGGCAGUACUUGAGGAGGAGAGAUGAAAUUUCGUGAUACCAAAGGGACUCUGUAAAGGCGAAGGCAGCCCUCUAUGUAAAAACUGACGUUGAAGGACGAAGGCACAGAGAACAAACAGGAUUAGAUACCCAAGUAGUCUUUGCAGUAAAUGAUGAAUGCCAUAGGUUAGAUUGGUCAAUUAUAGUCUAGGGUUAGUCUAGCAAACUAAUACCCUAUGCUAUAAUCCUAAUAUCUGGUCUAUAAAUGAAAGUGUAAGCAUUUCACCUCAAGAGUAAUGUGGCAACGCAGGAACUGAAAUCACUAGACCGUUUCUGACACCAGUAGUGAAGUAUGUUAUUUAAUUCGAUUGAUACCGCA